rnacentral:rRNA from 1 species
UACGUAGGGUGCAAGCGUUGUCCGGAUUUACUGGGCGUAAAGAGCGCGUAGGCGGUCUUGUAAGUGUGAAGUGAAAUCUCCAGGGCUCAACCCGGAAACUGCUUUGCAUACUGCGAGACUAGAGGGAUGCAGAGGUUUGUGGAAUUCCUGGUGUAGCGGUGAAAUGCGUUGAUAUCAGGAGGAACACCGGUGGCGAAGGCGGGUCUCUGGGCCGAUACUGACGCUGAGGAGCGAAAGCGUGGGGAGCGAACAGG